rnacentral:ncRNA from 1 species
UCCCUGGUUGAUCCUGCCAGUAGUCAUAUGCUUGUCUCAAAGAUUAAGCCAUGCAUGUCUCAGUGCAAGCCGCAUUAAGGUGAAACCGCGAAAGGCUCAUAUAAAUCAGUUGUGGUUCCUUAGAUCGUACCCAAGUUACUUGGAUAACUGUGGUAAUUCUAGAGCUAAUACAUGCCGACAGAGUUCCGACCGUCGCGGCGCCCUCGGGCGUCGCUCGCGGGAGGAACGCUUUUAUUAGAUCAAAACCGGCCCGUCGCGGCGCGCUUCGUGCGCGUCCCGAUCGCGGCCCGCGCAAAGACCUGGUGACUCUGAAUAACUUCGAGCUGAUCGCACGGUCUCCGUACCGGCGACGCAUCUUUCAAAUGUCUGCCUUAUCAACUGUCGAUGGUAGGUUCCAUGCCUACCAUGGUGGUAACGGGUAACGGGGAAUCAGGGUUCGAUUCCGGAGAGGGAGCCUGAGAAACGGCUACCACAUCCAAGGAAGGCAGCAGGCGCGCAAAUUACCCACUCCCGGAACGGGGAGGUAGUGACGAAAAAUAACGAUACGGGACUCAUCCGAGGCCCCGUAAUCGGAAUGAGAACACUUUAAAACCUUUAAACGAGGAUCAAUUGGAGGGCAAGUCUGGUGCCAGCAGCCGCGGUAAUUCCAGCUCCAAUAGCGUAUAUUAAAGUUGUUGCGGUUAAAAAGCUCGUAGUCGGAUCUGUGUCUGGACGGUGCCGGACCACCC